rnacentral:rRNA from 1 species
UACGUAGGGUGCGAGCGUUAAUCGGAAUUACUGGGCGUAAAGCGUGCGCAGGCGGUUUUGUAAGCCAGAUGUGAAAGCCCCGGGCUUAACCUGGGAAUGGCAUUUGGGACUGCAAGGCUUGAGUGCGGCAGAGGAGACUGGAAUUCCUGGUGUAGCAGUGAAAUGCGUAGAUAUCAGGAGGAACACCGAUGGCGAAGGCAGGUCUCUGGGCCGUAACUGACGCUGAGGAGCGAAGACGUGGGAGCGAACAGG